rnacentral:rRNA from 1 species
CCUACGGGUGGCAGCAGUGGGGAAUUUUGGACAAUGGGGGCAACCCUGAUCCAGCCAUGCCGCGUGCGGGAAGAAGGCCUUCGGGUUGUAAACCGCUUUUGUCGGGGACGAAAUCAUCUGUGCUAAUACCCCGGGGGGAUGACGGUACCCGGAGAAUAAGCACCGGCUAACUACGUGCCAGCAGCCGCGGUAAUACGUAGGGUACAAGCGUUGAGCGGAAUUACUGGGGGCAAAGCGUGCGCAGGCGUCUGAAAUCCCCGGGCUCAACCUGGGAACUGCAUUUGUGACUGCAUAGCUGGAGUGCGGCAGAGGGGGAUGGAAUUCCGCGUGUAGCAGUGAAAUGCGUAGAUAUGCGGAGGAACACCGAUGGCGAAGGCAAUCCCCUGGGCCUGCACUGACGCUCAUGCACGAAAGCGUGGGGAGCAAACAGGAUUAGAUACCCGAGUAGUC